rnacentral:rRNA from 1 species
AGAGUUUGAUCCUGGCUCAGAGUGAACGCUGGCGGCAGGCCUAACACAUGCAAGUCGAACGGCAGCACAGUAAGAGCUUGCUCUUAUGGGUGGCGAGUGGCGGACGGGUGAGGAAUACAUCGGAAUCUACUCUUUCGUGGGGGAUAACGUAGGGAAACUUACGCUAAUACCGCAUACGACCUACGGGUGAAAGCGGAGGACCUUCGGGCUUCGCGCGAUUGAAUGAGCCGAUGUCGGAUUAGCUAGUUGGCGGGGUAAAGGCCCACCAAGGCGACGAUCCGUAGCUGGUCUGAGAGGAUGAUCAGCCACACUGGAACUGAGACACGGUCCAGACUCCUACGGGAGGCAGCAGUGGGGAAUAUUGGACAAUGGGCGCAAGCCUGAUCCAGCCAUGCCGCGUGGGUGAAGAAGGCCUUCGGGUUGUAAAGCCCUUUUGUUGGGAAAGAAAAGCAAUCGGUUAAUACCCGGUUGUUCUGACGGUACCCAAAGAAUAAGCACCGGCUAACUUCGUG